rnacentral:rRNA from 1 species
UAAAACUUUUAACAACGGAUCUCUUGGUUCUGGCAUCGAUGAAGAACGCAGCGAAAUGCGAUAAGUAAUGUGAAUUGCAGAAUUCAGUGAAUCAUCGAAUCUUUGAACGCACAUUGCGCCCUCUGGUAUUCCAGAGGGCAUGCCUGUUCGAGCGUCAUUU